rnacentral:rRNA from 1 species
CCUACGGGAGGCAGCAGUGAGGAAUAUUGGUCAAUGGACGAGAGUCUGAACCAGCCAAGUAGCGUGAAGGAUGACUGCCCUAUGGGUUGUAAACUUCUUUUAUAUGGGAAUAAAAUGUUCCACGUGUGGGAUUUUGUAUGUACCAUAUGAAUAAGGAUCGGCUAACUCCGUGCUAGCAGCCGCGGUAAUACGGAGGAUCCGAGCGUUAUCCGGAUUUGUUUGGUUUAAAGGCAGCGUAGGUGGGUUGUUAAGUCAGUUGUGAAAGUUUGCGGCUUAAACGUAACAUUGCAGUUGAAACUGGCGUUCUUGAGUUGGAGAGAAGUAAGCGGAAUGCGUGGUGUAGCGGUGAAAUGCAUAGAUAUCACGCAGAACUCCGAGUGCGAAGGCAGCAUACCGGCGCUAAACUGACGCUGAAGCACGAAAGCGUGGGUAUCGAACAGGAUUAGAUACCCCUGUAGUC